AUUGAACGCUGGCGGCAGGCCUAACACAUGCAAGUCGAACGAGUGGCGGACGGGUGAGUAAUGUCUGGGAAACUGCCAGAGGGCGGGGGAUAACUACUGGAAACGGUAGCUAAUACCGUAUACCAUCGUAUGUGCCCAGUAGGGCUUAGCUAGUAGGUGGGGUAACGGCGCACCUAGGCGACGAUCCCUAGCUGGUCUGAGAGGAUGACCAGCCACACUGGAACUGAGACACGGACCAGACUCCUACGCGAGACAGCGAUGGGGAAUAUUGCACGAUGGACGCAAGCCUGAGGCAGCCAUGCCGCGUGUAUGAAGAAGGCCUUCGGGUUGUAGAGUACUUUCAGCGAGGAGGCGUUACUCGCAGAAGAAGCACCGGCUGACUCCGUGCCAGCAGCCGCGGUAGUUC
rnacentral:rRNA from 1 species